GACAGAGGCCUCGAGCGUUAGGCGGAAUCACUGGGCUUAAAGCGUGUGUAGGCGGGCCCGUAAGUGUCUUGUGAAAUCCCACGGCUCAACCGUGGAACUGCUGGGCAUACUGCGGGUCUUGGGCCAACUAGGGGCAGCCGGAACAAGCGGUGGAGCGGUGAAAUGCGUAGAUAUCGGGAAGAACACCCGUGGCUAAGGCGGCUCUCUAGUACGGUACUGACGCUGAGACGCGAAAGCGUGGGGAGCGAACGAGG
rnacentral:rRNA from 1 species